rnacentral:rRNA from 1 species
GUAGGUGGCAAGCGUUGUCCGGAAUUAUUGGGCGUAAAGCGCGCGCAGGCGGUUCUUUAAGUCUGAUGUGAAAGCCCACGGCUCAACCGUGGAGGGUCAUUGGAAACUGGAGAACUUGAGUACAGAAGAGGAAAGCGGAAUUCCACGUGUAGCGGUGAAAUGCGUAGAGAUGUGGAGGAACACCAGUGGCGAAGGCGGCUUUCUGGUCUGUAACUGACGCUGAGGCGCGAAAGCGUGGGGAGCAAGCAGGAUUAGAUACCCUGGUAGUCCACGCCGUAAACGAUGAGUGCUAAGUGUUAGGGGGUUUCCGCCCCUUAGUGCUGCAGCUAACGCAUUAAGCACUCCGCCCUGGGAGUACGGCCGCAAGGCUG